UACGGAGGAUGCGAGCGUUAUCCGGAUUUAUUGGGUUUAAAGGGUGCGUAGGCGGGCUGUUAAGUCAGCGGUCAAAUGUCGGGGCUCAACCCCGGCCUGCCGUUGAAACUGGCGGCCUCGAGUGGGCGAGAAGUAUGCGGAAUGCGUGGUGUAGCGGUGAAAUGCAUAGAUAUCACGCAGAACCCCGAUUGCGAAGGCAGCAUACCGGCGCCCGACUGACGCUGAGGCACGAAAGUGUGGGGAUCAAACAGG
rnacentral:rRNA from 1 species